UCAAAUGCACAUAUGAUCAUGUAUAGCAUAUUCAUGUUGUAUGUCUUUAUACCUAGGUUACAAAUCAGGUAAGAAAUGAUAAUCUCUUUUCUCACAUACUUUCUACAAACUCGCAACUCUCAUACUUUUACUAUUCACACUCAUUCUCUUAAUCUCUCAUGUUCAUCAUUCUCCAUCGUUUUACACCGUUUAUUCUUAUACCCCGAUUAUCCUUCAUCUCUCAUUUCUUUAUCUUCUAUUCCCCACGUUUCAACCAGAAACAAUUCCAGAAUUAUACCACUCGUUCUCAGUGGAUUUCUACCGUCAAUCUCUUUCUCCAUUGAAACUAUGUCGCUCUUUCUCACGGAUUUCUACCACCGCCAUUUGUUUUUUCCAGCGAAAUUGUGCUGCUCUUUCUCACCGGAUCUCUCCUGCCAAUCUCUCUCUUUAACAUGACGAAUCGUACUGUCUUCUUCAGAAAUUUACCGUUGAAGAUCUAUUGUUUGUGAGAUUUUUUCUCAAAUUUCAUUUAAAAAUUUUCUGAUGCAACUAAAAAAAAUAUACCUUUUUAAAAUAUAUAUUAUCUUUUGUUGAACAUGCAAUUUUAGAAUAUGCCACGCUAUUAUUUAUGGACUGUCGGCAUGCAACUCUUGUCAAAAACAAGUAGAUAUUUCCAAACUUCAAGAUAUUUCUUUUGAAUGAUAUGUUAUUUAUAUUUGAUUCAUGUCAUUUCACAAAACCCAAUGAUCUUUUGCUAUUUUCCUUGAUUCCGCUUCCCGUAUCUUCUCCACCAUCAUCUCCUCUCCUCCGUAACCACCCCAUCACAACAACAAGUACGCACCACCGGUCCACCACUAUCGUAUCCAGUAUUCCAGUUCAACCACCAUUUGUAUCCUAUACUACGUAUGUAUGUAUCCACCACCGCACCUUUGUUACCUCUUUCGAACUGAUCAACGUCACCUUUGUAACUAUCACCUUUGUAACUAUCACCACCUCUUCUGAUGUGGUGAUCUGUUGAAGCUAUUGCUACUUCUAUAACGUGUAUAGCUUGGUCAACUGUUUAGAUAGCUUAGUCACUUGCCCCUUUUUGGUCAUUUACUUCUUAACACUUUAGGUCAUCUCUUUCUUGUCCUAAAAUUAUCAUGAUCUUUGCUGCUAGACCUCCUUUUUUUGUCAGAUUUUAUAUUGGAGUUUCACCGCAAA